CCUUGCGCUAUUUCCAGAAUCCUCUCCUAUCAAUUUCAUCUAUUCAUUACAGGGAGCAAAAAUGUGGCUAAACCUUCUGUCCAUACUUGUAGUCCUCAAAGGAGUCCAAUCUCAGGUCCAGUUGGUGGAGUCUGGAGGGGAUGUGAGAAGACCUGGGGAGUCCCUCCGUCUCUCCUGCCAAGCCUCUGGAUUCACCUUCAGCAGCUUCUACAUGCACUGGGUGAGACAGGCUCCAGGGAAAGGACUUGAAUGGGUGUCAUGGAUAAGCGAUGGUUCUGGUACUAUUAGAUACUCUGACAAAGUGAAGGGACGCUUCACCAUCUCCAGGGACGAUGCCAAAAGCCAGCUGUAUCUGCAAAUGAACAGCCUCAAAACUGAAGACACAGGAGUCUAUUACUGUGCAAGAGACACAGUGAGAGGAAAUCAUUAUUUCAACUACCUGUAUUUUUCAAAGGUGAGACAUUCUCCUGGGAAAGGACUGGAAUGGGUAGCCGGCAUAAGUACAGGCUCAUAUCCUUCCACUUACUACCCAAAUAAAGUCAAGGGCCGCUUCACCAUCUCCAGGGAUGAUUCCCGCAGCCAGUUGUAUCUGCAAAUGAACAAUCUCAAACUGGAGGACACAGCUGCCUAUUACUGCUCAACUUGCACAAAAUACUAG